rnacentral:rRNA from 1 species
CGCGUAGGCGGCCUGCUAAGUCGAACGUGAAAUCCCCGGGCUCAACCCGGGAACUGCGUCCGAUACUGGGAGGCUUGAAUCCGGGAGAGGGAUGUGGAAUUCCAGGUGUAGCGGUGAAAUGCGUAGAUAUCUGGAGGAACACCGGUGGCGAAGGCGGCAUCCUGGACCGGAAUUGACGCUGAGGCGCGAAAGCCAGGGGAGCAAACGG